AAUUUAUUUGUUGUUACAAAUUAGGACAAGAUUUUUCAAUGCCAAAAUGACUUAUUUUUCUCGGUUAAUAAAUAAAUAUGAAUAGACAAUAGCAAUUAAUUAAAUACAGACUAUACAUAUUCUAGAUCUAGGCAUACAUAUGAGGUUUUAACUAAACUAAUAGCAAUAUGAAUUUAAUAUAGAUUAUAUAUAUCAAAUACUCCUUAUUUAUAUUUGUUAAU